CAGCAGCCGCGGUAAUACGCAGGUGGCAAGCGUUGUCCGGAAUUAUUGGGCGUAAAGGGCUCGCAGGCGGUUUCUUAAGUCUGAUGUGAAAGCCCCCGGCUCAACCGGGGAGGGUCAUUGGAAACUGGGAAACUUGAGUGCAGAAGAGGAGAGUGGAAUUCCACGUGUAGCGGUGAAAUGCGUAGAGAUGUGGAGGAACACCAGUGGCGAAGGCGACUCUCUGGUCUGUAACUGACGCUGAGGAGCGAAAGCGUGGGGAGCGAACAGGAUUAGAUACCCCCGUAGUCCCUGUCUCUUAUAA
rnacentral:rRNA from 1 species